rnacentral:rRNA from 1 species
CCUACGGGAGGCAGCAGUGGGGAAUAUUGGGCAAUGGGCGCAAGCCUGACCCAGCAACGCCGCGUGAAGGAAGAAGGCUUUCCGGUUGGUAACUUCUUUUUUCAGGGAAGAGUAGCAGACUGUACCUGACGCAUAAGCCACGGCUAACUACGUGCCAGCAGCCGCGGCAAUACGUAGGUGGCCAGCGUUGUCCGGAUUUACUGGGUGUAACGGGCGUGUAGCCGGGUUGACAAGUCAGAUGUGAAAUCCUGCGGCUUAACCGCAGAACUGCAGUUGAAACUGUUGAUCUUGAGUACUGGAGAGGCAGACGGAAUUCCUAGUGUAGCGGUGAAAUGCGUAGAUAUUAGGAGGAACACCAGUGGCGAAGGCAGUCUGCUGGACAGCAACUGACGGUGAGGCGCGAAAGCGUGGGGAGCAAACAGGAUUAGAUACCCCUGUAGUC